rnacentral:rRNA from 1 species
UACGAAGGGGGCUAGCGUUGCUCGGAAUCACUGGGCGUAAAGCGCACGUAGGCGGACUCUUAAGUCGGUGGUGAAAUCCUGGAGCUCAACUCCAGAACUGCCUUCGAUACUGGAGAGCUUGAGUCCGGGAGAGGUGAGUGGAACUGCGAGUGUAGAGGUGAAAUUCGUAGAUAUUAGCUAGAACACCAGUGGCGAAGGCGGCCAACUGGUCCGGUACUGACGCUGAGGUGCGAAAGCGUGGGGAGCAAACAGG